UCCAGUACGUCUCCUCUCUCAUUUUCUUCUUUCUCUCUCUCCACUCUCUUCUCCCUCACGGCCUUCCCCCUUCUCUCUCUNUCUCUCCCUCCCUUCGAGCUCAGAUCGCUGGCGGAGCGCCGCCGCCUCGGCCUCGUCGCCUUCGCCAUCUCCUGCUUCGCCCUCCGCCGCGAAGCGCCGCAGUCCCCGGCCUCGUCGCCUCCGCCAUCUCUCUCUCUCUCUCUCGCCACAGCGCUCCACCCAAUCCCUACAGCCACCGUAGAGCCCUCCACCACCGAGGCUAGCCGUGACAACCACCACCACGGAACCCCCCAAAACUCAGCCCCUCGCGCCGCCUAGGGUUUCAUUCCCUUAGAGCGGCGCCGCCUCUGCUCACCUUCCGGCCGAACAAUGCAGCGCCAGCAGACAUCCCCAGCCACGACAACUUUCGGCGAGCCUUCUCCCCAGGCAAAAUCGCCGGUCAAAAAAAGAAGGAGCGCGAACGCGACGCCGCUGCUCUCUGCCUCCACACGAUCUGCACCGCCAGACGCGGCGGCGUCUUCGAUUCUCCUCCGAUACCGAGUUCUGCAGCCCCGAUGAAUUCGACGAUGCUUAAAUCUGUGUACUGUGUUGUAGAUCUAUAAUCUCUCUCCUUAUCUCGCUCUCUCUCUCUCCUUGUAAAAGUAGAUCUGGAAUUUUGUUUGUGACUAUUGCAAAUCUGCUUGAACUUUUGUUUGUGAAUUUUGUUGGCUGUUUGUAGAAGAUUUGGUGUGAGGAGGGUGAUUAGUCAAAUUAAUAUUCUUGGUUUGAUGUUUGGAGAUUUUGUUGGUUUGAUGUUUUUGAUUAUUAUGUACGAAGAACUUUGUAUGUAUGAAGAACUUUUUGAUUAGUUUUUGUUAGUAUGUACGAAGAAUUUUUGUAUGAGAUG
rnacentral:lncRNA from 1 species